rnacentral:lncRNA from 7 species
CGGCAGCGCUGCGGCGCGGAGCCCCACGGAGGACGCGGCCACCUUUCUGCAUGCGCCGGCGCGCAGCGCGUGCCCUGCGACCGCAACGCAUGCACAUCCGGCCCCAACCCGGCUCCGCCCCCCGAGCCACGUCUGCCCCAUAACCCAGCUCUGCCCCCUAACCCAGCUCUGACCCCCAGCUCUGCCCCCUAACUCAGCCCCAUAACUUAGUUCUGCCCUCUAACCCAGUUCA